CAGCCGUAAACGAUGUGCGUUAGGUGUGUCGGUAACCACGCGUUACUGAUGCGCCGAAGAGAAAUCGUGAAACGCACCACCUGGGAAGUACGGUCGCAAGGCUGAAACUUAAAGGAAUUGGCGGGGGAGCACCACAACAGGUGGAGCCUGCGGUUUAAUUGGAUUCAACGCCGAAAAACUCACCAGCAGCGACUGUUACAUGAAAGUCAGGUUGAUGACCUUACUAGAUUUUCAGAGAGGAGGUGCAUGGCGUAGACGUCU
rnacentral:rRNA from 1 species